AAAAAAAAUUUAUUUCUUCUAUUAUGAUAGGGUCUUAUAAAAACAGGAGAUUAUCAUGAAGUUAAAGCAGCACAUGUUGAGCUUGCAGAACGGAUGCGCAAGGUCAGAAGAGUUUAUUUCUUCUAUUAUGAUUUUCAUAACACCAUUACUGAAAAACAUGAAUUUAAAUAUGUUGCUGAAAGGAUCGUGGCACAGUACGUAUUCAACGAAAAAGGGUCACAUGGCGGCACAGAGUAUGGUGUUCUGCGGAAUUUGGUUCAUCUCAAACAUAUGCCAGGAUAAGCAAACAAAUUCAAUCAUCAAUAACAAAUUCAA
rnacentral:lncRNA from 1 species